UAUUUGUGAAGAUAGAGCUGUCUUGGAUAAGUUUUUAAACAUUUAAUAUAAUUUUCCUCUUUGCAGGAUAAUGAUUUAAGAAAGCAAAUUGAAAAAUUUUUGGCCUACAAAAUUGAAGAAGGUGAACGUGUGCGCAAGUUAGUGAAACAUCAAGAGUUGGAUAAAGAGAGAGAAAGAAAAUACAGAGGAGAAAAAAAAGAACAUUCUUUUGGGACAGAAAAAGAGAGGCUUUCUACAGAGAAAAGUUAUAAACAUUAUGGAGAGGAAGAGGAAGAAAAACAUAAAUCAAAGAGAUCUAAAGAAAAAUCUUCCCAUGGAGACAGAGAAGGGCCAGCAGCAGAAGCUGAUGAGAGAGUAAAAAGUAGAGAAAAGGAAAGAAAGAAAUAUGAUCUAAAGAGCAGUGAAUACAAAAAGGAGGAGAGGAUUCAAGAAGAAAUGAGCCAUCAGCUUGUAAGAACUGUAAAAGAUAAAGGAAAACUCGUUGAAACAGAGGACAUGGACAAAAGACAAGAGGAGGCAACACAGGAGGGAGAAAUUCCUACUCAAGACCUGACUCAACAAGGACGCUGAAAUUCCAGGGAUUUGCAUUCUAUGUUGUUGGGUUUUUUGUUUUUUUUUUUGUUUGUUUUUUUUUUUUUUUGUAUAUUUUUUGCUCCAAAUGCCACAGCCUUCAAGAUAUUCCAGCAUAAUUUCCCAAUCCUGUUUUGUAUUGACAAUAUAUAGAUUUUCUCUAUAAAUUCUUGAAAGUAGGAACCCAGACAGUACUGACAGGUGGAGGUUUUUAGUGUGUAAAAACCAUAUUUGUACCAGAUGCAUCUGUGUUUUUA
rnacentral:lncRNA from 1 species